rnacentral:tRNA from 1 species
CGGGGCGUAGCGUAGUUUGGUAGCGCACAUGGUUUGGGACCAUGGGGUCGGGGGUUCAAAUCCCUCCGCCCCGACCA